UCAACGCUGGCGGCGUGCCUAACACAUGCAAGUCGAACGAGAAAGUGGAGCAAUCCAUGAGUAAAGUGGCGCACGGGUGAGUAACACGUGACUAACCUACCCUUGAGUGGGGGAUAACUGAGGGAAACCUUAGCUAAUACCGCAUAAUACCUACGGGUCAAAGGAGCAAUUCGCUUAAGGAGGGGGUCGCGGCCGAUUAGUUAGUUGGCGGGGUAAUGGCCCACCAAGACAGUGAUCGGUAUCCGGCCUGAGAGGGCGCACGGACACACUGGAACUGAAACACGGUCCAGACUCCUACGGGAGGCAGCAGUGGGGAAUUUUGCGCAAUGGGGGAAACCCUGACGCAGCAACGCCGCGUGGAGGAUGAAGUACUUCGGUACGUAAACUCCUUUCGAUCGGGACGAUUAUGACGGUACCGGAAGAAGAAGCCCCGGCUAACUUCGUGCCAGCAGCCGCGGUAAUACGAGGGGGGCAAGCGUUGUUCGGAAUUAUUGGGCGUAAAGGGUGCGUAGGCGGUUUGGUAAGUCUUGUGUGAAAUCUCUGGGCUCAACUCAGAGACUGCACGAGAAACUGCCGGGCUUGAGUGUGGGAGAGGUGAGUGGAAUUUCCGGUGUAGCGGUGAAAUGCGUAGAUAUCGGAAGGAACACCUGUGGCGAAAGCGGCUCACUGGACCACAACUGACGCUGAUGCACGAAAGCUAGGGGAGCAAACAGGAUUAGAUACCCUGGUAGUCCUAGCCCUAAACGAUGACUGCUUGGUGUGACGGGUACCCAAUCCCGUCGUGCCGUAGCUAACGCGUAAGCAGUCCGCC
rnacentral:rRNA from 1 species